rnacentral:lncRNA from 1 species
GGGGGGAAUAGGAAUAUAAAACAUCCUGCAUUGCUUGGAACACACCUGCACAAAGAAUUGUCUCACCCAAAAUACCUAUGGUGCCCUGGAUGAGAAAUGCUGCUACAUUAUGUCUGGGAAAGCCUUUGACUCUGCUAUCUCAGGGGAGAAGGUGGGAUUCUCUGGUUCUUUUGGUUACAAUCACAGGAACACAUUGAGGGUUCUUUUAAUUUCCACGUUAACUAUAAUUUAGAGUCUAAUUCAAUCUCUUCUGAUAGAUUAAGUAUUCAGAAGAAAUGUAAAGAGUAAGUCCAGCUAUUAGUGUAUACCAGUGGCCUCAGAAACAAAGUUAACACCUCACCCAAGACACAGGGUUGGGCAGACACAGCAUCUUUAAACCAGGCUGCUUUUACUCAAAUACUAUAACACCAAUGAUCACUAAAAGAAUAUAGUAGUCCUCUAGUACUUUUCACAAAGCAAAAAUGUUGGACUGUUUUUGCCUAGUUAAUGCCUGAACGUGAUCUAUAUUUUCUCAGUCCUUAGUAUUCAUUUAUUAUUUCCUGCUCUGUGCUCACCCCUUGAACCUGAUGGACACACUGGGUUUAAUUUGAACACUAAACCCCAUUCCUUGGCAUAGUUUGUAUUUGAACUCUGGUUUUACCCACUUCUCUUGGCUAACAGGUCAGUUAGGCCUGACUUAAGCUUUGGUCUAUGAAACUGAGUAGUGCCUUGAUUUUGCUGGCAUCCUCGCUAGAGUGGCACUGGUCCCACUCAAAGAAUGACUAAACAAUCCACUUUAUAUUCCUCAAAAUAUUCAUAUUUUAUAUCUCAUCUUGACAUAUAUCAUCACAAUACUCAGUGAUUAAUUCUUUUAUCUGAUUUAAUCUAUUUCCUCAAUGUGUUUAUUUCUUUGAAUUAUUUUAAACUAUUCUUAAUGAUUUUUGACUUUUAGGUAAAUACUCUCUUAACAUAAUAUGUUCCUCGAUAUGGCAUUUAUCAAAAGGCUUUAAAAAUUGGCAACUUGGCCGGGUGCAGUGGCUCACGCCUAUAAUCCC